AGCAGAGAAAAAUUCUCUCGUUCUAUCUAGAACUCUCUCUCCCUCUCUCCUCUCUUCACAGGUUUCGAUGUUCUGUAAUCGGAUUUAUUGUUCGAUGAUGUGAUCCUAUUACUCACCCUCUGUCUAUCUCUCCUCUCUUCACAGGUUUCGAUGUUCUGUAAUCGGAUUUAUUGUUCGAUGAUGUGAUCCUAUUGCUCACCCUCUGUUUAUGAGAUCACCAUUACGAUGAAAUCGAGGCGGUGGGGGGUUUGGUCGUUUCAAAGGUUUCCUGAACUUUUCAAUUGACUCAGGUGAUGGGAAGUUUUUUCUUUCCUAGAAAUGGACUUAUGGGCCAAGGAUCCUAAAUAAAGAUAGAUAGUAAUGUUCACACGGUCACAAAUGUGAUUCAAUCAAGGAUUGUGUGGCCACUCACAAUUGUAUUUGAUAUCAAGUGUUAAGAUUAAAAGAAUCAAUUUUAGGUGUUUUAAUCUCAACCAUUCAAAUUAAAUUCAAGGAUCGGUGACUACAAAUUUUUUGAUCGCCUGGUGAUCGUGUGAUCAUCACUGAAUAAAUAGAUAUCAUUAGUGUAGUGCUUCAAGUUGAUAUGCCUAGUUUUUGUAAAUGUGUCUUAUAAUUCAAAUUCAGCACCAUCAUAACCACUGCAAGUGGCC